AACGAACGCUGGCGGCAUGCCUAACACAUGCCAGUCGAACGAGACCUUCGGGUCUAGUGGCGCACGGGUGCGUAACGCGUGGGAACCUGCCCUUAGGUUCGGAAUAACUCCCCGAAAGGGGUGCUAAUACCGGAUAAUGUCUUCGGACCAAAGAUUUAUCGCCUUUGGAUGGGCCCGCGUUGGAUUAGCUAGUUGGUAGGGUAAAAGCCUACCAAGGCGACGAUCCAUAGCUGGUCUGAGAGGAUGAUCAGCCACACUGGGACUAAGACACGGCCCAGACUCCUACGGGAGGCAGCAGUGGGGAAUAUUGGGCAAUGGGCGAAAGCCUGAUCCAGCAAUGCCGCGUGAGUGAUGAAGGCCUUAGGGUUGUAAAGCUCUUUUACCCGGGAUGAUAAUGACAGUACCGGGAGAAUAAGCUCCGGCUAACUCCGUG
rnacentral:rRNA from 1 species